AGGGGGACACACGCUAGGGGCCUCUCACCUCUGUGCCUUCAAAAAAGCCCUCUUCUUGAUCCACAGCUCCUAACUGGGCCUCCUCGCCCCAAACCUUGGCUUCCUGGCUCACAAUCCCUCACCCUCAGGGGAUAUGCACUCUUUCAAGACACUUUUGAAAAGAGUUUUUAAUAUUUUUAUGCUCAGGACAAUUCGGAGUGGUUGCCAGCGGGCACACUGCCCAACCUGGCCAACUCCUAGUACGGACCUCUUUCCCUGGGCCACAGUCCCCUUCCAUCCACCCACAUCCUUAGGGCAUUUGAAGGCAUCCUCACCAGCCCUCUGGCACCAAUCCUGCUCCCAGAUCCUCCUGCCUCAGCUUACCUAUCUGGUUCUUCAGUUCAGCCAAGUUGGCCUCCAACUCCUGCACCUGACUCAUGCUGUGCUCCUUCUCUUCCCUCAAUCUGUGCAUCUGCCCAAAUCACAGGGGGGAUGGGUACAUGGGUGGGGGGAAGUAAGACCAUUGCCCUCUCUAUUCCCACCUAUAAAAAUUGCACAGCCACCUCUGGCUGCAUACCAAGUGAUAGGAUUCCCCUUUUACUGAUGUCCAGAAAGAUCAAGCAGCCUAAGGUGGGGGCGCUGAAGGUCACAUCUCACCUGUUCAGACAUCUGCUGCAUCUUCUGCUGCCAAAUGGCAUUCUCCUCCUUCAGAGUCUCUGCAUACUGGUCUCUCUCCAGCUGCAGUUGCUUUAGUAAAUCUCUCAGCUACAAAAAGGGGCACAGAUGUUAGCAGGGGCUGCUGCUGGGCCUAACCAGCUUCUAAGCACCUAGGGCCAUCCUUCCACACCCCCUGCUCUCUGCAAGGCCUCACCUCCCCGACGUGGGCCUCCAGCUGUGUCCGCUCUUCCAGGGCCUGGUGUAACUCCUGGCUGCUGUCAGGGCUUUUGGAUUGACUAGAAAACUGGAGAAUGGAAAAGGAGAAGGUUAGAUGUGGGGAGCCCAGGCUGUUGCAGUAAUGCACCCCACCCCAAAAGGAUCUGAGCUGGGAUAACGUACAAUUUGGCAUUGAUACAGAUCUCUACCUUUACAUUACGUUAGUAUUGGGUCCACAGGCUUUCUGUUAACUAAAUACUCAUUGUAAGUGCUCCUCUAGCUCCCAGUCCUGCCAACCUGGUGUGUAUUCUCUUCCAGGUUCUUUACUGGCUAUAGUGAGGGUGGCUACAAACUGGCCCUGGUCCCAGAAAUGGGGUGGUCAGGUCCCAGAGUGCGGGUGUCCAUUAACUUCAGAGCAACCUCAAGCCCUCACUUCCUCUCUCUACCAGGCUAUUUGUUAGACUACCCAGCCUAGGAACAGGCGGAGGCCAUGUUCAGUCAACACCUGCUGAAUGGAUGGGGAGAUGGUGAGGGAGAUGGGUAGAGAGCCCUACCUGCUGCCCAGGACAGACCAAAUUUGGAGACUCAUGUUUCACUCUGGGGGGAUUGACCAGAAGAGGAGCCUUAACCAAUUGGUCCCAUGCAGGAAAAAAAGCCGUCAGGAGGGUGACAGACCAUGUGAGAAACAGCUGGGGCUGUGGAGCUUGGGAAAACCUGAGGGAGGGCCAAGGAAUCUACAAACACACCCCCUCCGAGUAUCUAAAGGUCUCAGGAAAGAGAUGAAAUUUUUCCUGUGUUGAUUGGGAGGGAAGAACCCCACUGAAGGAAGUGACCUGAAGGCAGAUUAUCGCUGUGUGAAUAAACACUGAUGGAGGGGAGCUCUUUGGCCCAGGUACCCUGAUGACCUGGUGGCCCCACCUCCAAGAGGAAGCAGAUGGGGACUCAUGGGCUAGCCUUGUGACUGUCAACUGUAGAACAAUGGUUUGCAACCAAGAUGCUUUAAAAAACAAAAAUUUAAAAAGCCCCAUCCCUGAGAUUCUGAGUCCACAUUGCUGCACAGGGCUCCAAUUUGUAGAUUUUGAUCAACAUCUGCAGCAGGAUUCUAUAGCAGGGCCAGAACAAGGACCCAAAUAUUCCAGCUUCUGGCUAACGGCUGGCCAUCACAAUCCCGGGAGACCACGGCCCCAGACAGAUGGGACCCAGACUCCCUGGGGCUUCGGCCUCACCUGCUGCAGCAGGAGCUCCGACAUCUCCAGCUUCUUUUGCAGCUCCUCCAUCCCGAGCUGCAUGGCUGCCUUCUCUCUCACCAUCACCUGAAGCUUCUCUUCCAGUUCUGAGUUCUGCUGCUUCAGGUCCUCAUUGUUUUUGCUAUGGCCAGAGAGAGCAAAGGAAGGAGGACACAACAUCCUUGACUGGAAGGGGGCAGAGAUGAAACAGCAAAGGACGUGAUCCCAAAAUAUGCCAUCAGUGGAGCAGGAUAGGCCCAACAAUGUGGCCAGACUGGGGGGGAGGGGGGCGUGGUGGCAGGUAGUGGGAGGAGGGCAGGGGUAGGGAAGGGGUGGGGGACACAAGGGGGCCUUUUAUUCCUCCAGGCUGGGAGCAGACCAAGAUGAGAAUGGGCCUCUACAUCUGAAUCCUCCCCAAACGCCUCUGCCACAUAAUCAGCAGACAAAAGAUAUCAUGUUACUUUUUCCAGUUGAUCCAGAGUUUCCUGGUUCUGUUGUUUCUGUGGGGAGAGCCAAAGAGAGGGAAAGACCUGGUCUUGGCUUCCCCCACCUCAGUCCUCCAGAAGGGCACUCUGCUCUAGGAACCAAGCUACCUGAAGAAUGGGAAGAGGACCCAAAGCAGGCCUUUCCUGGGAAGGAAGUUACCCAACUAGAAGCCUCACCCUACUCCUGCAGGUGAAAAGAAAAACAUGGCUACUACACCCACACCCCAACCUCCUAGCUCCAAAACACCUACCAACCAGGAACCAACCUGAGAAACCAGAGCCCAGGGCUCGCUGCUUUCUGGACGCAUCUGCUGCCCUCCUCAGAGCAAGUGCCGCAGAGCCCAGGGAGCUGAGGAUGAAUCUGAGCAAUUUGCAUGUUUACUGUCCAUGCUGUGACCUUUGACCCUGGAACCUGGCGUUGUCUUGACAACCUGUUCAACAGAAUCCUAGAUAAGAGCAGAGGCUCAGCAGCUGGCUGAGGCAUGAGACUUUGGGGGAGCUCUCUGUCCAGGAUCCUGCAACCACAAGCCAGCAUUGCCAGGACAGAAAACUUAAGUGGGAAACAAUCACUGAUAGAAGAUUGGAUCUAAAAACCACAAGAGAUGGGAUCCCUGGGUGGCUCAGCAGUUUAGCACCACCUUCCACCCAGGGCAUGAACCUGGAGUCCCGGAUCGAGUCCCACAUCGGGCUUCCUGCAUGGAGCCUGCUUCUCCCUCUGCCUAUGUCU